GGGCCGUUAGCUCAGUUGGUAGAGCAGCUGACUCUUAAUCAGCGGGUCGGAGGUUCGAGUCCUCCACGGCCCACCA
rnacentral:tRNA from 3 species